GUCAGGGAAUUACAAGCAAAGCUUAAAACCCAAAGGACUUGACGGUGCCCCACAUCCCCCUAGAGGAGCCUGUCUAAUAAUCGAUAAUCCCCGCUAAACCUCACCACAUCUAGCCUAUCAGCCUGUAUACUUCCGUCGCAAGCCUGCCACAUGAGUGAAGCUUAGAGAGCCCAAUGUCCACACAUACGUGCUUAAAUCAACAAUACGUCAGGUCAAGGUGCAGCAAACGAUGUGGGAUAAGAUUGGCUACACUUUUUAAUUUAGAAGAAACGAAAAACAAAAAUGAAACCUUUGUUAGAAGGUGGAUCUAGUAGUAAAAGAGAGAUAUAAAGUCUCUUUUAAUUCGGCACUGGAGCGUGU
rnacentral:rRNA from 1 species